CUUUGCCUACGGGAGGCAGCAGUGAGGAAUAUUGGUCAAUGGUCGGGAGACUGAACCAGCCAAGCCGCGUGAGGGAGGAAGGUACAGAGUAUCGUAAACCUCUUUUGUCAGGGAACAAAGACUGGGACGCGUCCCCGGAUGAGUGUACCUGAAGAAAAAGCAUCGGCUAACUCCGUGCCAGCAGCCGCGGUAAUACGGAGGAUGCGAGCGUUAUCCGGAUUUAUUGGGUUUAAAGGGUGCGCAGGCGGUCUGUUAAGUCAGCGGUCAAAGCCCGGGGCUCAACCCCGGCCCGCCGUUGAAACUGG
rnacentral:rRNA from 1 species